rnacentral:rRNA from 1 species
GGCUCAGAACGAACGCUGGCGGCGCGUUUAAGCAUGCAAGUCGAGCGGCAAGGGCCUUCGGGCCCCUAGAGCGGCGGACGGGUGAGUAACACGUGGACAAUCUGCCCCCCGGCCCGGGAUAGGCCCAGGGAAACCUGGAUUAAUACCGGAUGAGACGGGACCCGCGAUGGCGGGACCCGGGAAAGGCGCUGCGGCGCCGCCGGGGGAUGAGUCUGCGUCCCAUUAGCUAGACGGCGGGUAACGGCCCACCGUGGCGACGAUGGGUAGCCGGGCCUGAGAGGGUGGACGGCCACAUUGGAACUGAGACACGGUCCAGACUCCUACGGGAGGCAGCAGCUAAGAAUCUUCCGCAAUGGGCGAAAGCCUGACGGAAGCGACGCCGCGUGAACGAAGAAGGCCGUGAGGUUGUAAAGUUCUUUUCGGGAGGGGAACAACCGUGGCAGGGAAUGGCCGCGGGAUGACGUGAAUCCCGGAAUAAGCCCCGGCUAACUACGUGCCAGCCGCCGC